rnacentral:lncRNA from 10 species
CGGAGCCCGGCGCCGCGGCCAGGAUUUCCCACCUCGCUCCCGCGACUCCGCUGCGGGUCUGCACACCCGAGGACUCGGGGUACUUAACCGAAACUAGCAAUCCCAGGCGGUACAAGGCCCUCCAUCGUAGGCAAAGCACUACCUGAAUGUAGAUUUGGGCCAUACGUUGGAAAAUAAGACAUGAGAGUAUGCUCCGAUCAACUUUUACUGUUCACUGGACAACUAUUUUGGGAAUUUGCAGACCUAUAAAGCCCAUCUAUAAAUCUCAAGCAUGUCCACUUUCAGAGAAGAGAAAUGCUGACAACCAUUUAGUCUCUGAGGACAACACUUUUAAAGUUAUACAGGACUCCAUCAUAGGACUGGAGAGAGAUUGGAUGUCAGAGUGAUUGAUGUGCUCCUACUGGAAGAAGGCAAACAUCCAUAUGUGAACUGCCUGUGGGGUUUCCAAGGAAAGGAACGGCAGGCAGCCUCUAUGAGCUUAAAGAAGAUAACUGGGACUUUAGUCCUAUAACCUCAAGGAACAGUAUUCUGUGAACCAUCUGAGAAGCUUGGAAGAGGACCCCAAACUCCAAAUAAGAAGCUCAGUGUGUCUGACACCUUGACUGCAGGCUUGGGAGGUCCUGAGCAGAAGAUCCAGUUCAACAGUGCCUGGACUCCUGAUCCACAAAAACUGAUAACAAAUAUUUAUUGUUUUAAGAUGCUAAGUUUGUAGUCAUUUUUUAUACAGCAACAGAAAACUAAACACACACAUAAACAGUUAUAAGUGCUCACUGUAUAUGAGGCUUUUCAUUAAUAAUCUAUAUUUUAUAAUAGAAUUAGAAUAUAGAUCUGUGAAGCUGAAGACACUCAAUCCUUGCUAGAUUUAAAUCAGGAAAAUCAGCUGAGAAUCAUUCCUUGAUAGAACCUGGAAAACAAGACCCUAUGAGAGACCCUGGGAAUUACAUUAAAUUCACUGUGGUUCCCAGUGUCACUGAAGAGGUUUUCCUUUCAUAGUCAGGUAGUCACCAUACUGUUAAGCAUUUGAACACAUGGGCAACUUCCAGAAUAGUUAUGACAUUGAUAUACCAAUCUCCAAAAUUCCUAGAAUACCAUGUUUUCAUGGUUGACCUUCAAAUCAGUCAGUUCUUUGUAACAUUGAGCCAUAAAGAUAGGGCAAAUACUUAAUGUUUUACAUAUAUUCAGAGAUUGACCCUCAAAAUACAGCCCAGAGAAACUCAAAAGAAUUAACUCUAUUUCUUCAAAUUGUGUGACGCCACCAAGGCCAGAUGACUUCAGCAUUGGGAAGGCAAUAUCCAGCUGUCAUCUUCUUGAUCCUCAUAUGCUACUACUAGCAUCUAGCAUUUACUGAGCAGAUAGUUUUAUUGUCCAGUUUUUAAAGAUAAGAAAAUUGAGGUAUUAGGAAAGUUAAGUUGGUUGCCUAGGGAAACACGAAGAUAUAGCCCAGAUUCACUCCCAGGCAGGCAGAUGCCAGUGUCUGCUCUCUUUACCACCGAAAUAUCCUGCUACAUGUACAAUUUCAAUAAAUAUCUGGACUUACUGGAACAAAACAAAUCAACAACAUUCUUAUUUUCUUUCUUCAGUUUAGAUUAAAUAAUUUAAAUGUCUUCUUAAGAAGCUACAGUUUUUUGAGGCACAGAGGGAUAGGAGGGUAGGUCCUACCAGUUGAGUCACUCAGCCCUAUAGUUG